rnacentral:lncRNA from 1 species
GAGUAGCAGAAACUAACACAACAAUGUAAAGCAAUUAUACUCCAAUAAAGAUGUUAAAAAAAUAAAAAUAAAAGAAGGUGUUGUGUGAGAAAUGCUGAGUGAGGAGUCCUUAGAAGACCAUGUGCAAAGAAGUUAAUGAGGAAGAUUAAGGAAAAGAAAGGAAUGGGUGAGUUGUGCUGAUACUCCAAGGGAAAUUCCAUUUUGAUUUUCCCAAUGAAUUGCUCAUGGAAAAUUA